GAUGAACGCUGGCGGCGUGCCUAAUACAUGCAAGUCGAGCGAACGGAUGAGAAGCUUGCUUCUUUGAUGUUAGCGGCGGACGGGUGAGUAACACGUGGAUAACCUACCUAUAAGACUGGGAUAACUUCGGGAAACCGGAGCUAAUACCGGAUAAUAUUUUGAACCGCAUGGUUCAAAAGUGAAAGACGGUUUUGCUGUCACUUAUAGAUGGAACCGCGCUGCAUUAGCUAGUUGGUAAGGUAACGGCUUACCAAGGCAACGAUGCAUAGCCGACCUGAGAGGGGGCUCGGCCCCACUGGAACUGAGACACGGUCCAGCCACCAACGGGAGGCAGCAGAAGGGAAUCUUCGGCAAGGGGCGAAAGCCUGACGGAGAAACGCGGCGGGGGUGAGGAAGGUCUUCGGAUCGUAAAACUCUGUUAUUGGGAAAGAACAAAUGUGUAAGUAACGGUGAACAUCUUGAGGGUACCAAAGCAAAAAACCACGGUAAAUUACGG
rnacentral:rRNA from 1 species